rnacentral:rRNA from 1 species
UACGUAGGGUGCAAGCGUUUGUCCGGGAAUUAUUGGGCGUAAAGAGCUUGUAGGCGGUCUGUCGCGUCUGCUGUGAAAAUCCGGGGCUCAACCCCGGACUUGCGGGUGGGUACGGGCAGACUAGAGUGUGGUAGGGGAGACUGGAAUUCCGUGGUGUAGCGGUGAAAUGCGCAGAUAUCAGGAGGACACCGAUGGCGAAGGCAGGUCUCUGGGCCACUACUGACGCUGAGAAGCGAAAGCGUGGGGAGCGAA